rnacentral:rRNA from 1 species
UGCCAGCAGCCGCGGUAAUACGGAGGGUGCGAGCGUUAAUCGGAAUUACUGGGCGUAAAGCGCACGUAGGCGGACUGGAAAGUUGGGGGUGAAAUCCCAGGGCUCAACCCUGGAACUGCCUCCAAAACUAUCAGUCUAGAGUUCGAGAGAGGUGAGUGGAAUUCCGAGUGUAGAGGUGAAAUUCGUAGAUAUUGGGAAGAACACCAGUGGCGAAGGCGGCUAACUGGCUCGGUACUGACGCUGAGAUGCGAAAGCGUGGGGAGCAAACAGGAUUAGAUA